rnacentral:lncRNA from 1 species
AUGAGGAGACGUGAUGGGAGUGGGUAAGAGGGAGUGGCUGAGACAGCGUGAGACAGCAGAGUUGGGUAAGUGUAGACCUCAGAAACAUAACUAGGUAGAGGAUCCGCCACGUGGUACUAACAUUCCGUGUUCUGGGUCCCACCCACCACAGAGUACAAGAUCAAGAUCCUAGAUCACCCAAUAGCACCUAGCCACGCUUCUCACGCUUUCUUUUUCGUCCAAUCACCUUCAAGGAAUAGAUGUUCUAUCCCCAAAUUAAAAAGUGUUUCCCGGUGGCCCCAUGCUGCAAUAACAUUCAUCAUUUAGCAUUAGACUUAUUCUUGAUUAGUUCCUUCCCC